AGGAAAGUUUGAAAAUAAAAAGCAUAAGGCUUAGGUUUCUAAUGUUUGAAAACAAUUGUUAAAUGUUUGCACAAAAGUUUUGGCUAGGGUUAGAGUGGAGAGAAGAAGAAGAAUGGCUAAAGUCCUAACAUACAAGAGGUAAGGGAUAAAGAAUAACACCACACAUGGAGAUCCUCUCUUGAGAUCAUAUGGAUGAUCCAAGUAGCUCCCAUCCUUUGGAAUAAGCAAUCA
rnacentral:lncRNA from 1 species